ACGCGAGGAACCUUACCAGCCCUUGACAUGUCCAGGACCGGUCGCAGAGAUGUGACCCUCUCUUCGGAGCCUGGAACACAGGUGCUGCAUGGCUGUCGUCAGCUCGUGUCGUGAGAUGUUGGGUUAAGUCCCGCAACGAGCGCAACCCCCGCCGCUUCUAGUUGCUACCAUUUAGUUGAGCACUCUAAGGAGACUGCCGGUGAUAAGCCGCGAGGAAGGUGGGGAUGACGUCAAGUCCUCAUGGCCCUUA
rnacentral:rRNA from 1 species